GAUGAACGCUGGCGGCGUGCCUAACACAUGCAAGUCGAACGAAGCUCCCGGACGGAGCCCCUCGGGGCGAGGGAAGGGAUGACUGAGUGGCGGACGGGUGAGUAACGCGUGGGUAACCUGCCCUGUACAGGGGAAUAACAGUCAGAAAUGACUGCUAAUACCGCAUGAGCGCACGGGACCGCAUGGUCCGGUGUGAAAAACUCCGGUGGUACAGGAUGGGCCCGCGUCUGAUUAGCUGGUUGGCAGGGUAACGGCCUACCAAGGCGACGAUCAGUAGCCGGCCUGAGAGGGUGAACGGCCACAUUGGGACUGAGACACGGCCCAAACUCC
rnacentral:rRNA from 1 species